rnacentral:rRNA from 1 species
CCUACGGGAGGCAGCAGUCGAGAAUCAUUCACAAUGGGGGAAACUCUGAUGGUGCGACGCCGCGUGGGGGAAUGAAGGUCUUCGGAUUGUAAACCCCUGUCAUGUGGGAGCAAAUUAAAAAGAUAGUACCACAAGAGGAAGAGACGGCUAACUCUGUGCCAGCAGCCGCGGUAAUACAGAGGUCUCAAGCGUUGUUCGGAAUCACUGGGCGUAAAGCGUGCGUAGGCUGUUUCGUAAGUCGUGUGUGAAAGGCGCGGGCUCAACCCGCGGACGGCCCAUGAUACUGCGAGACUAGAGUAAUGGAGGGGGAACCGGAAUUCUCGGUGUAGCAGUGAAAUGCGUAGAUAUCGAGAGGAACACUCGUGGCGAAGGCGGGUUCCUGGACAUUAACUGACGCUGAGGCACGAAGGCCAGGGGAGCGAAAGGGAUUAGAUACCCCAGUAGUC